rnacentral:rRNA from 1 species
UACGAAGGGUGCAAACGUUGCUCGGAAUUACUGGGCGUAAAGAGCGCGCAGGCGGCUGGGCAAGUCCGAUGUGAAAGCUUCCGGCUUAACUGGAAAAUUGCAUCGGAAACUGCUCGGCUUGAAGGUGGGAGAGGGUAGCGGAAUUCCCGGUGUAGUGGUGAAAUGCGUAGAUAUCGGGAGGAACACCAGUGGCGAAGGCGGCUACCUGGCCCACUCUUGACGCUGAGGCGCGAAAGCUAGGGGAGCAAACGGG